AGAGUUUGUUCCUGGCUCAGGACGAACGCUGGCGGCGUGCUUAACACAUGCAAGUCGAACGGGAAUGCCGCGCUGAUGCGAUUUCGGUCAAAUCAUGUGGCAUUCGAGUGGCGGACGGGUGAGUAACGCGUGGGUAACCUGCCUUACACAGGGGGAUAACACCUGGAAACAGGUGCUAAUACCGCAUAAGCGCACAGGGCCGCAUGGCCCGGUGUGAAAAACUCCGGUGGUGUAAGAUGGACCCGCGUCUGAUUAGCUUGUUGGCGGGGUAGGGGCCCACCAAGGCAACGAUCAGUAGCCGGCCUGAGAGGGUGGACGGCCACAUUGGGACUGAGACACGGCCCACACUCCUACUGGAGGUAGCAGUGGGGGAUAUUGUAUAUUGGGGGUAAACCCCGAUCCAGCGACGCCGCGUGUAGUGAAGAAGUAUUUCGGUAUGUAAAGCUCUUUCAGCAGGGGAAGAAAGAAAUGACGGUACCUGACCAAGAAGCCCCGGCUAACUACGUGCCAGCAGCCGUGGUAAUACGUAGGGGGCAAGCGUUAUCCGGAAUUACUGGGUGUAAAGGGAGCGUAGACGGUGAUGCAAGUCUGGAGUGAAAGGCGGGGGCCCAACCCCCGGACUGCUCUGGAAACUGUGUAACUUGAGUGCAGGAGAGGUAAGCGGAAUUCCUAGUGUAGCGGUGAAAUGCGUAGAUAUUAGGAGGAACACCAGUGGCGAAGGCGGCUUACUGGACUGUAACUGACGUUGAGGCUCGAAAGCGUGGGGAGCAAACAGAGAUUAGAUACCCUGGUAGUCCACGCCGUAAAC
rnacentral:rRNA from 1 species